GGGCGUCGUCCUGGACGGGGGUGGGGUCGGCCUCGGCGGCCGUGCGCGCGGUGCGCACGAUCAGUGCGUCCUCCGGUGCGCCGUCGCCGGCGGCCACGACGGUGAGGCCCUCGCGGGUGAGGUCCCGCAGCAGCUGCCAGGCCUCGGUGCGCUCGGUGUCGGCGAGCUUGAGGUCCACGUCGUCGACGGCCAGCAGCUGCGGGCCGUGCAUCAGCCCGAGUGCGACGGAGAGCCGCAGCGCCUCGAUCCGCUCCAGAUCGCGCACGGUCGUGCGCAGCCCCUUGGGGAGGGUCUCGGGGUCGAGCCGGGCGGCCGCGAGGGCGGCGUCGACCCGGGCCCGGGUGGCCUCCUUGUGGCGCUUGCCCCAGGGGAGCGAAGCGAGCGGCGAGCCCUGGAUACGGGGGCCCAGCAGGGCCCGCUCCUUGAGGUGUUCGCCGACCGUGAGGGCCGGUUCGAGGUCGGCGACGCCCG
rnacentral:tmRNA from 1 species